UACGUAGGGUGCGAGCGUUGUCCGGAAUUAUUGGGCGUAAAGAGCUCGUAGGCGGCUUGUCGCGUCGGCUGUGAAAGUCCGGGGCUCAACUCCGGAUCUGCGGUGGGUACGGGCAGACUAGAGUGAUGUAGGGGAGACUGGAAUUCCUGGUGUAGCGGUGAAAUGCGCAGAUAUCAGGAGGAACACCGAUGGCGAAGGCAGGUCUCUGGGCAUUAACUGACGCUGAGGAGCGAAAGCAUGGGGAGCGAACAGG
rnacentral:rRNA from 1 species